rnacentral:rRNA from 1 species
AAUUCGCCCUUGAGCACGUAGGUGGGUUUGUAAGUCAGAUGUGAAAGCCUUCUGUUCAACGGAAGAAUUGCAUCUGAAACUGCGAGUCUUGAGUGUAGGAGGGGAGAAUGGAACUCCUGGUGGAGCGGUGAGAUGCGUAGAUAUCAGAAGGAACGCCGGCGGCGAAAGCGAUUCUCUGGCCUAUUACUGACACUCAGUGUGCGAAAGCUAGGGGAGCAAACGGGGUUAGAUACCCCGGUAGUCCUAGCCGUAAACGAUGGGCACUAAGUAGAGGGAAUUACCGAUGUUCUCUCUGCCGUAGCUAACGCAUUAAGUGCCCCGCCUGGAGAGUACGGCCGCAAGGCUAAAACUCAAAAGAAUUGACGGGGGCUCGCACAAGCGGUGGAGCAUGUGGCUUAAUUCGAUGCAACGCGAAAAACCUUACCGGGGCUUGACAUGUUAGAAGUAGGAACCUGAAAGGGUAACGAACGGUAUCCAGUCCGUAGCUAUCACAGGUGUUGCAUGGCUGUCGUCAGCUCGUGUCGUGAGACGUUGGGUUAAGUCCCCUAACGAGCGAAACCCUUGUUUUUAGUUACCAGCGGGUUGUGCCGGGUACCCUAGAAAGACUGCCGUCGUCAAGACGGAGGAAGGUGGGGAUGACGUCAAGUCAUCAUGGCCCUUAUGCCCCGGGCUGCACACGCGCUACAAUGGUCGGUACAAACGGAAGCGAAGCCGAGAGGUGAAGCGAAUCCAAGGGCGAAUU